UACGAAGGGUGCAAACGUUGCUCGGAAUUAUUGGGCGUAAAGCGCGCGUAGGCGGCAUUGUAAGUCGGAUGUGAAAUCUUAUGGCUUAACCAUAAAAGUGCAUCCGAAACUGCAGUGCUUGAGUACUUAAGAGGAUCGCGGAAUUCCCGGUGUAGAGGUGAAAUUCGUAGAUAUCGGGAGGAACACCAGUGGCGAAGGCGGCGAUCUGGGAAGAUACUGACGCUGAGGUGCGAAAGCGUGGGGAGCAAACAGG
rnacentral:rRNA from 1 species